AGAGUUUGAUCCUGGCUCAGGAUGAACGCUAGCGGCAGGCUUAACACAUGCAAGUCGAGGGGCAUCGCGGGUGGCAACACCUGGCGGCGACCGGCGAACGGGUGAGUAACGCGUGAGCAACAUGUCCUCAGUCGGGGGAUAAGCGAGGGAAACUUCGUCUAAUACCCCAUAACACUUUCAGGCGCAUGCCUUUAAGUUGAAAGCUUUUUUUGCGACUUUGGUUUGGCUCGCGUGACAUUAGCUAGUCGGUGGGGUAACGGCUCACCGAGGCUACGAUGUCUAGGGGUUCUGAGAGGAAGGCCCCCCACAUUGGGACUGGGACACGGCCCAAACUCCUACGGGAGGCAGCAGUGAGGAAUAUUGGUCAAUGGACGGAAGUCUGAACCAGCCAUGCCGCGUGAAGGAAGACUGCCCUAUGGGUUGUAAACUUCUUUUGCAGCAGAGCAAUAAGGCGUACGUGUACGCCGAUGAGAGUAUGUUGCGAAUAAGCAUCGGCUAACUCCGUGCCAGCAGCCGCGGUAAUACGGAGGAUGCGAGCGUUAUCCGGAUUUAUUGGGUUUAAAGGGUGCGUAGGCUGUUUUGUAAGUCAGCGGUGAAAGACCGGGGCCCAACUCCGGAAGUGCCGUUGAUACUGCAUUGCUAGAGUUCCCCUGCCGUGGGAGGAAUGAGUGGUGUAGCGGUGAAAUGCAUAGAUAUCACUCAGAACACCGAUUGCGAAGGCAUCUCACGAAGAGGCAACUGACGCUGAGGCACGAAAGCGUGGGGAUCAAACAGGAUUAGAUACCCUGGUAGUCCACGCUG
rnacentral:rRNA from 1 species